AAUUUCUGAAUAUCUGUCAAAAGAAAAGUUGAAGGGAAAUUCUGUGAAUACUGUGCUCAACAGUGCUGUGCAGGAGGAUAAUGAGAUUAGAACUGAUGAAACAAAGACUCAUAACCGUAGAGACAGUAGUUGAUGUAAUGGGGGCGGUAGAGAGUUCCUGGAACAGAGUCUAGACUAAGAGAGAGAGAUUAGAAAGUCUAGGAUAGAAGCUUGUAACCUGUCUAUAUCUGAAGAGCAUGGAAAACACAAAACAAGUGGUGAAAGUUGCUAUCCUAGGAAAAUAUGAAGAUUGUGCCAUGAGACAAGGUAAGCCAUGGUAUUAAAAUUAGGCAGAAGAAAUAUCAGGAGACUGCAGGCAAUUUCCUGGAAUCAUGAUGAUUCACACAAGCCCAUGUCUACUUCUACAAAACUAAAGGACUGCAUGAGAUCCAGCUGCGCUGAAGAAAUAGGAGAUAAUGAAGUGUCUGUUAUAUCUACUAAACCAGUGAUUGGAAAACUUUUUCUGUAAAGGACCAAAUAGUAAACAUAUUAGGCUUUGCAGGUCAUACAAUCUUUGUUCAACUAUUCAACUCCAUCAUCGUGGUGUCCAUCAGUAGCCACAGAUAAGAUGUAACUUAAGGACUAUGGCUGUCUUUCAAUAAAAAAUUAAUUUACAAAAAUAAGUGUUGGACU
rnacentral:lncRNA from 1 species